GUAAAGCACCAGAAAGAGAAGAGAAGCAAGUAGAAGAGUUUCAGCAUCUGCUGAGAAUAUGCAAUACCUAAGACAAAGUUGCAUCUUUCUUUAAGGCCAGUACCUUGGGAGGGACAAUGACAUCACUUCCUGAUUCCUCCCAGUUUUCUAUUUCCUGCCCUGCUUCCAUCAACAUCCAGAGCUGGAAACACCUCCAUCCUGCCUCUCCCUGCCAUGGCCUCCCUGCUCCUCUUCUGUGUGGCCUUUUGUCUCCUGGGAACAGGGUCCAUGGAUGCUGGUGUUACCCAGACCCCAAGGAAUAGGAUCGCAAAGACAGGAAAGAAGAUUACGCUGGAAUGUUCUCAGACUAGGAAUGAUAAUCAAAUGUACUGGUAUCGACAGGACCCAGGACUGGGGCUACGGUUGAUCUACUACUCCCUUGGUGUCCAAGAUAUAAACAAAGGAGAGAUCUCUCAUGGAUACAGUGUCUCUCGACAGGAACAGCCUAAAUUCUCCCUGUCCCUAGAGUCUGCCACCUCCAACCACACAGCUCUUUACUUCUGUGCCACCAGUUAUUAGCACAGUGCUUCUUGGCCACCUGCUCUCUACACAGAAAGACAGACACACGGGCCUCAUGGAAGCUGACAUCUACCAGACCCCAAGACACUGUGUUAUAGGGACAGGAAAGAAGAUCACUCUGGAAUGUUCUCAAACCAUGGGCCAUGACAGAAUGUACUGGUAUCGACAGAUCCAGGAACGGAACUAAAACUCAUCCAUCAUUCCCAUGGAGUUAAUUCCACAGAGGAGGGAGAUCUUUCCUCUGAGUCAACAGUCUCCAGAACAAGGAAAGAGAAUUUUCUCCCGACCCUGGAGUCUGCCAGCCCUUCACCUACCUCUCAGUACCUCUGUGCCAGCAGUGAAUACA